CAGGUGGCCAAAGUAUAGUUAAAGCUAUAGGACUAAAUAAAAAUCACCUGGGGAGUAAAUGGAAUUAGAGAAUAAAAGAGGGCCUAGAGUGAAUUUUGGAGACCUCUGAUAUUUAAAUAUCAGGAGUGAUGGAUAGAAACAGCAAAGAAAAUUGAAAAGAAGUGGCUAUUGUGAUGGCAAAACAGUGGAAUGGUGUCUUGGUAACCAAGAAGGAAAAAUGCUUCAAGGAGGAGGGAAUAAUCAACUUACUGGGUCAAAUGCUAUCAAUAGAUCAAACCAAUGAAAGCUGAACUGAUGAUUAGUUUUCGCAGCAUUGAUAGUAAUUUCAGUGGAAUGGUGGAGACAAGAGUACAAUUUAUUGAAUGAAUAUAGCAUACUUAUAAGUUAAGAUUUGUUAAAUGCCUGUUAUAUUAAAAGGAUAUAUCUCUGCUUCUUCCUUAUUUUAGAAGUGUCAGAUGGUCUAAAAGAAAACAGAAAACGUCAGCUGUAUUCAUGGAGACAAUGACCAAGCAUGAGUGGUAAAGAAUCCAUUUGGCAAUGCAGAAGAUGCAAGAGACAUGGGUUUGAUCCCUGGGCCAGGAAGAUCCCCUGGAAUAGGAAAUGACAACCUGCUCCAGUAUUUUUGCCUGGGAAGUUCCAUGGACAGAGGUGUCUGCAAUUGUAAUUCAUAGAUAGCCUGUUCUGAAUGGUCAGCUUGUUCUUCUCUCUGGCUGCUCGGUCUUGAGUGAUCUGCUCAUCAGAGCUCCGCUUCAGCUGCUGGAAUAUGUCAAGCAGUGACAGUUCUGUGAAUGGUGGCCUGCCCGGAAGUCUCUACCCCUGAGGAUGCACAUGUGACAUCAGACAAGCUGUCAGUGCCUUUAAAGGCAGCAAGGGGAAGGCUGUCUGCACCCUAUCUUCUCACGCUCUCGCAGGAGAGAGAUGAUUCGGACUGCUCUAGCUGCACCUGAGGGCCGGGAAGAACAUGUACACUUCCUCGGUUGAGGACAAUCUCUUAUGCCUAAUUUACCCUUUUUAUUCUUUUGUGUAUUUUCUUUUCUACAACUUGUGUGUUUUCAAAAAAGCGAUUUAAUCUGAAAUGCCACUGCCCUUUUCUUUCUGCUUCUAAGCUCUCAAUGUCCUUAAGGUAAGAAAAGACUGCACUAGAACUCCCUCCUCUGCUACUAAUUUACAUUUAGAGAAAUUAAGGAGGGGAAGAAAAGUUCCUGGGGAAGGAGGAGGUUCUAUAUGAUAUGAAGAAUUACCACUUAAUAACUGAGAAAUGUCAAAUUUAUUGUGCAUGAAGGCUCAGGAAUAUAUUAGUUUAACAUGUACGUGAAAUUAAGAUGAGGUGCAGAAUUUGAAAGGAGAACCCAGAAUGCACCUAUAGUUCAUGUAAGGCCUUGUUUCUAGAGGAAAACAUGUGAAAAUGAUUAUUGCCAUGUUUACAAGUCUGUUUUUAAUAAUGAAUUAACAUUUUAAAUUGGCUUUUGGAAAAAGUGAAGCACAGAUAGCUUUUGUUUUGCUGGAUUGUGAUCCUACCUAAAACUCUGUUAGAAAUAUCAACUUCUGUAGCCUCCAAGAAGUACUAGGCCUUUAUAGAAAACAUGCAUUAUUUUUCUAUUUUUAACUUUACCUUUUAUUGAGGUAAGAUUCACACAAUAUAAAAUUAAUCAUUUUCAAGUGAACAAUUCAGUGGCAUUUGCAUUACCCAGUACCUUCCCCAUGUUGUGUAACUACCACCUCCAUUUAUUUCCAAAACAUUUUCAUCACCAAAAAAUAAAACACUGUAUCCAUUAAGCAGUUAUUGUUCAUUCUCUCCUUUCCUCAGCCACUGGCAACCACCAACCUGCUUUCUGUGUCUAUAGAUUAACCUACUCUGGAUACUUCAUAUAAAUGGAAUGAUGUGACUUUUGUGUCUGCUUUCCUUCACUUAGUAUGUUUUCCAGGUUCAUCCAUAUGUAUCAGUUUAUUCCUUCUUAUGGCUGAAACUAUCCUGAUGCUGCUAAGUCGCCUCAGUCGUGUCCGACUCUUAGCGACCCCAUGGACUGCAGCCCACCAGGCUCCUCCGUCCAUGGGACUUUCCAGGCAAGAGUACCGGAGUGGGGUGCCAUUGCCUUCUCUGAAACUAUCCUAUUGUAUGCUAUAUCACACUUUAUUUACCCAUUCAUCCAUUACUGAACAUUUGGAUAGUUUCUACCUUUGAGCUAUUGAAAACAGUGCUGCUAUGAAAUUUUACAUGCAAGUACUUAUUUCUAUACCUGUAUUCAAUAUUUUGGUGUAUCUAGAAGUGACUUGGUGGAUCAUAUGGUAAUUCUAUAUUUGACUUUUUGAAGAAUUCUAUUUGGCUUUAAUUUGCUUAAUUAGCAUGUGGCACUUAACCUCUGCUUAUUUGUAUUAGAUCAAUGAAUUAACAGUCCUGUGGGAUUAUUAGGAAACUAGUGAUACAUAUUCCUCACUGCAGUCUGGCUCACAGUGUAUUUUCUCCUUUCUUGCUUUCCUAAAACUGUCUAAUAAAGAAGUAAAGAUCCUAAGAAACCUUGGUGUUCCAAAGUAUAUAUUAGAAGGCAGAUCUUCUGAUACAGAACUGUUUUGUUAAUAAUCAACAAAAGAUUGACAAACACUUGAGCUACAAAUUCUUGCAUUGUGUUAAUUACCUAAGAAUUCCAAGGUUAGGAAGAGCAUAGAGAAGCAGAUAGAACAAGGAAACAUACACAAUUUACAUGAAAUGUUAAAAUUUAAUCCUUGAAGUCUAGGUAGUACCUGUUAAUCUUAAAUCCACACUCUGAAAUCAAAACAUGAGCAGAUGAACACUUCAGAGCAUAAUUUUUAAGGCAAAUACCCUUUUAAAAUAUUUUUAAC
ensembl:lncRNA